UCCAAACUAAAAACUAAGGUUUUUAUUAGUAUAGGUACUUCACAUAGAAUCCUUACCUGCAUUCAAACAUUUAUUUUUUUCUUGUGUGAAUGCAGCUGUUUGUAAGGGUAGAAAACUUUCUUUUCCAUUCUGUUAAUUACUAUUGUUUAUCUUUUACUAAAUAAAGUUUAUAGGAUUUCUAUCAAAUUUUUUCUUUGAGCUUUUAUAACAGCCACUCACAUAGUAUACAGUACCAGAAGUGGUUUCACACUAGAAAACAGAGCCAAUGGGAGUGUUACAGGAGUGAAGAGAUUUAAUGCAGGGCUUAGGCUGUCACACAUAGAGGUGAGCUGACUGAGGGAGGGUCUGCAUGGCUUCAGGUGAAAGAUCAGAUAAGCAGCCCCUACUGACUCCUGUCUGCCAGGCUAGACAGAAGCUGUUCUUGUCACCAUGCUACCCUUAGAACAUAGCUUAGCUUUUCAAAUCUCAUGAAAGUUCCUGCCAUGAGUGAAGAUCAAAUCAUGGCCCAUAUGGAAAGGGUUCUGGGAAGCAUGGUUCUGGCUUUAGAGGGGAAAGGGGAUACUUUGGAGAUGACCAGAGACUACUCAUCACAGGCAAUAACACAAUGGAAAGGGAGCUCUGCUUAUUGGAAAUAGGCCUGUUGGAAAGGCAGAUCAAAACUAAGUUGCAGUUUUAGCUCUCCCCAGUCAGAAGAAUUAGUAUAGAAAAACAAAACAAACAAAAAUAUCAAAUGCUGGUGAGGAUGUGAUGAAAAAGGAACACUUACAGACCAUCGCUUGGAAUGUAAAUUAGUACAGACACUAUGAAAAACAGUAUGGUGUUUUCCCCCAAAAAACUAAAAAUAGAACUACCAUCUGAUCUAGCUAUCCCACUCCUAGGUGUAGAUCCAAAGGAAAUGAAGCCAGCGUCCCAGAGAAACACCUACAUGUCCAUGUUUAUUGUGCUCUACUCAUAAUAGCCAAGGUGUGGACUCUGCCUAAGUGCCUGCCAACAGGUGAAUAGAUGCAGAAAGUAUGGCAUAUAUGCACAGUGGAGUAUUAUUCAGCCAUAAAGAAGAGUGAGAUCCUGUCAUUUGCAGGGAAAUGGGUGGGUCUGGAAGGUCACAAACGUUUCAAGAGACAAAGCUGUAUGGUGCCAGCUAGCUCAACUGCAGAGUGAGAUUCCCAGGUUCCAGUUGAUGGGCACUUGGGCUGCUUCCAAGCUUUAGCUAUUACAAACUGUGCUGCUAUGAACAUGGGUGCACAUAUAUCGCUCUGCAGUGACAUUAAGUAAGGAAAUCUGCCAAUUAUCUCAGAG
rnacentral:lncRNA from 1 species